GAUAGUAAAAAUGUGUAAAACGCUUAAAAACGUAUUAGAAAGCGUUGACUCGUCCACAAAUUCGUGAAAAUAAAUUAGUCCAGAUGUUUGUAAAAAGGUCUUUAAUUACUUUGAGAAGUUUCCUCAUAUCAGUAAUUUUCAGGAAACAGCGCGGGCAUUACAGAUUGUUCUAAAUCAGUUU